UCGUAUGCUUGCUCCCCGCUGACGAGCGGCGGACGGGUGAGUAAUGCAUAGGAAACUGCCCAGUAGUGGGGGAUAGCCCGGGGAAACCCGGAUUAAUACCGCGUACGCCCUUCGGGGGAAAGCAGGGGAUCUUCGGACCUUGCGCUAUUGGAUGUGCCUAUGUCGGAUUAGCUAGUUGGUGGGGUAAAGGCCUACCAAGGCGACGAUCCGUAGCUGGUCUGAGAGGAUGAUCAGCCACAUCGGGACUGAGACACGGCCCGAACUCCUACGGGAGGCAGCAGUGGGGAAUAUUGGACAAUGGGGGCAACCCUGAUCCAGCCAUGCCGCGUGUGUGAAGAAGGCUUUCGGGUUGUAAAGCACUUUCAGUGAGGAGGAAAACUCUGCGACUAAUACUCGUAAGGCUUGACGUUACUCACAGAAGAAGCACCGGCUAACUCCGUGCCAGCAGCCGCGGUAAUACGGAGGGUGCAAGCGUUAAUCGGAAUUACUGGGCGUAAAGCGCGCGUAGGUGGUUUGGUAAGCGAGAUGUGAAAGCCCCGGGCUUAACCUGGGAACGGCAUUUCGAACUGUCAGGCUAGAGUAUGGUAGAGGGUAGUGGAAU
rnacentral:rRNA from 1 species